AUGAAGCUGACAGGUGGGGCCCACCUGUCAGCGGCUGCGGGCGCGCGCGCGCGGACCGGCUUGGUUGGUCGGGCGGUUCGGCCAGGCAAGGCCUAGCGGGCGGGCCCAGUGGGUCGGUCCGUUCUAUUUUUUUUUCUUUAGCCUUUUCUUUUUCUGUUUUUCUUAUUUCUUUGAUAUCUUUUGAUUUUGAACUCCAAAUUCGUCCAAAUAAAUUCCAGAAAAUUUGUAAAAUCAUGUUUUAUCAUGAUUCAACUUUUGGGAGUAAUUUCCCCUCAAAAUAAAAUACACAAAAAUACAUUUUCCCUAUAAAUGCCUUUAGGGCUAUAUAACUAUUUAAAUAAAAUAUUUUUUCAACUCCAAAUAAUUACCCAAAAAUUAUGGGAUAGCUUAUUUAUGCAAUAAACCCCUUUUAUAAAUAAACCCUAUAGGUUUGAAGAUCCAAAGCUCAAAUGGGUGUAAACCCUAGUGUUUGAAUUGAAAUAAAAUCUUCUAAAGCCUUUUGAGAUUCAAAUUUGAAUUCAAAUAUGCAAUUGUGGCAUGAUGCUCUUGGAUGCAAUGCACGUGUAAAAGUUUGAAAUUUUGGGAUGUUACAGACCUAACCCCCUUAAGAUGAAUCUUGUCCUUGAGAUUCGGUGUGGCUAGCAAAGAGGUGUGGGUGGUCUUCUCAUAGAUCGUCUUCGCGCUGCCAAGUGGCUUCUUAUUCAGUGUGGUGAUCCCACUGAACUUUGCAAAACCUGAUGGUCUUGGAUCGGGUUUGUCUCUCAGAUGUAUCCAAGCUUCUGAUCGGUUUCUCCUCAUAGGUGAGGUCACUUUGCAGUUGGACUUCUUCUAGGGGUUUCGUAUCCCUUAGUGGUGUGUCGGCCAUCUCGGGAUGACACUUCUUCAGUUGUGAUACAUGGAAGACGUUGUAGAAAUUCGACAGUGCUUUCGGUAAAUCCAACUUGUAGGCUACUUCUCCUUGCCGUGACAAGAUCUUGAAAGGUCCAAUGAAUCGGGGUGCUAGCUUUCCCUUGCUUCCAAAACUCUUUACUCCGCG
rnacentral:lncRNA from 1 species